rnacentral:rRNA from 1 species
AUUGAACGCUGGCGGCAGGCCUAACACAUGCAAGUCGAGCGAGCGGCGGACGGGUGAGUAAUGUAUGGGGACUGCCCGAUAGAGGGGGAUAACUACUGGAAACGGUGGCUAAUACCGCAUACUAUCGGAUACCCCACAUGGGAUUUGCUAAUAGGUGGGGUAAAGGCUCACCUAGGCGACGAUCUCUAGCUGGUCUGAGAGGGUGAUCAGACCCACUGGGACUGAGACACGGCCCAGAACCCAACGGAGGCAGCAGGGGGGGAAUUUGCACAAUGGGGCGCAGCCUGAUGCAGCCAAUCCGGGUGUAAGAAGGAAGCCUUAGGGGUGUAAAGUACUUUUAGCGGGGAGGCGUUACCCGCAGAAGAAGCCACGGCUAACUCCGUGCCAGCCGCCGCGGUAAUUC